rnacentral:rRNA from 1 species
AUUGAACGCUGGCGGCAGGCCUAACACAUGCAAGUCGAACGAGUGGCGGACGGGUGAGUAAUGUCUGGGAAACUGCCCGAUGGAGGGGGAUAACUACUGGAAACGGUAGCUAAUACCGCAUACCAUCGGAUGUGCCCAGAUGGGAUUAGCUUGUAGGUGAGGUAACGGCUCACCUAGGCGACGAUCCCUAGCUGGUCUGAGAGGAUGACCAGCCACACGUGAACUGGUGCACGGUGCAGACUGCGACGGUAGGCAGAAGUGGGGAAUAUUGAGCAAUGGGCGCAAUCCUGAUGCAGCCAUGCCGCGUGUAUGAAGAAGGCCUUCUGGUUGUAAAGUACUUGCAGCGGGGAGGCGUUACCCGCAGAAGAAGCACCGGCUAACUCCGUGCCAGCAGCCGCGGUAAUAC